CCCCUCCGCCCAGGCACCUCGGCCCCCAGACGUCUGUUUCAGUUUCUGAACUUGCCCACCAAUGGUUUCGAGGGCCAAGCCCCCAGGCCCUGCUGGUCCAGGAGGAGAGACAGCUGCCGGCGAGCCUCCUGGUAGGGCCCAGCCUAGGUGGGAGACGAGACAGUGGAGAGAGGGUGCCUGCUGGGGGUGCAGGAGAAAGAGGGCUGGGGGAGGGCAGGGGCUGACCUUGGCUGCCUCGUAGGUCUUCAAGGCCAGGAGGUGGGGCCUCCCGAGAGCCCGGGCAGCCUGGCGGCCAGAGAAAGGCUGGGGGGGCAGGAGAAAGAGGGCUGGGGGAGGGCAGGGGCUGACCUUGGCUGCCUCGUAGGUCUUCAAGGCCAGGAGGUGGGGCCUCCCGAGAGCCCGGGCAGCCUGGCGGAAAGCCCAGAGAAAGGCAGCCUUGCAGAGGCGGGAGGGAGGCCUGGGAGCAGCCCUGAGAUGGAGAGAGAAGCCACAAGGUGUCAUGACAGAGACGAAAAUCCGAGAACUGAGAUACCUGGACAAAGGGCAUACGUUUACUUCAGUUCAUGGCACUUGCUGGUAACGGCCACUCAACUGUUUCCCAAAAGGAUUGUCCUUUUGGAAGAGAACCCGUGUUUCAGACCCCUCCCUGGCACCAAGAGUCAUCUACUUUUUUUUGGCUACACAGCAUGUGGACGUUUCCAGGCCAGGGAUCGAACCAGUGCCUCAGCAGUGCCCCAAGCCAGAGCAGGAACAAUGCCAGAUCCUUAACUGGUAGGCCACCAAGGAACUCCAAGAUUCACCUACUUUAAAAGGGCACCAAGAAUGCCAACUUCCUUCUGAUGCCAGAGAAAGGCUGGCAUCAGGCAUGCACCAUAUGGCAGCCAGCGUGGCAACAAUCACACGUGACAACAGCCAUCAAAGGAUUCAAGAACCACAGGGUGACAGAGUUCUGGGAAGCAGGACAGUCACACCAUCUAGAGAUGUCCCCCCUCAGAUGACUGGUUACGCACCAAGGGGGAAGUGAGGACACCUGCAGAUGCCACCCUAGUCAGGCCAACCCAGCCGACAGCCCAGUGGCUGGACACACAGCCCACAGGCCCCCUGGUGGGAGGCAGGGACAGGACACGGGGUUGCCACAGGGGCUCCUGCUGAUAACCCAUAACCCAAACCGCCAGCCCACCCCAGCCGACAGCCCAGUGGCUGGACACACAGCUCACAGGCCUCCUGGUGGGAGGCAGGGACAGGACACGGGGUUGCCACAGGGGCUCCUGCUGAUAACCCAUAACCCAAACCCAACCUGGAGGAGAUGGGCAAAGCCAGGUGGAGAGGCUCUCUACAGAACAACUGGCCCUCACUCUUCAAAAACAUCAACAUCCCGAAGACGGAGGCAGGCCGAGGAAUUGUUUCAGAUGAAAGGAGAUUAAAGAGGCAUGAGAUGGAGCUCCCGUCGUGGCACAGCAGAAACGAAUCCGACGAGGAACCAUGAGGUUGCUGGUUUGAUCCCUGGCCUUGCUCAGUGGGUUAAGAACCAAGCGUUGCUGUGAGCUGUGCUGUAGGUCACAGACACAGCUCGGAUCUGGUGUUGCUGUGGCUGCGGUGUAGGCCGGCAGUCAUAGCUCCUAUCCAAGCCCUAACCUGGGACCCUCCAUAUGCUAUGGGUGUGGCCCUAAAAAGCAAAAAAAAAAAAAAAAGGUGUGAGCUAAUAGGUCAUGCUAGGUUGGAGGAAAAAAUGGCAAUUAUUGUGACUAGUGGCAAGCUUUGAAAGUGAGGGAUAAUUAGGUGAGGGUAGUAUAUCAAUAGUGAAUUUCUAGAUUUCCAUCCUUCUACCGCAAUCAUAUAAGAUAAUGUCCUUGUUCUCGGGAAGUGUUUGAGAGCUCAGUAAACCUUCACAUGGUUCAAAACUAACGUGGAUAUUUAUACACAAUGGGAUAGAACACACGGAGAGACCUGUCAAUGUGGCACCUGUGACCUCGAGAAUCUGGGUGAAGGGUUUACGGCAGUUCUUUUACCCUAUGCUUUGGUAUUUUACCAAAAUAAAAAAUGAGAAUGACUAAAAAACAUGCCUAUCCACGUAGACAGUGGAAAGGGGACCUUGGGCAGCAGGGAGGGCAAUACCGCCCAGUGGCUCAGCUCAGGCUCUGAAACCAGACCUCCCGUUCAUGGCCACAGCCCCUCUGGCCUCAGUCUCCCCAUCUGUAAAGGCGUGGUAAGGGCACUGGGCCUCCAUCCCUUCAGGAGAAGCUGGGAGGACUCAGUGAGUUCGUGUGAAGGCCUUCCUUCACCUGGCCCAUCACUCGUGCUGAACUGCUUUCCUUACAAUCUGCAUUAGUGAUGCUCUGGCAUUUGCGGAUGUAAACCCAGAAGGGCUGACCCUCCCAGGGUAGCUAAUUACCAGAGAAUUCCCGUUGCUAUAGAAACCAACCAAUCCAAAAUGCACAACCCAACCAGCAAACUCUCACACAAGCCAACAUUUCCCCCGGGGCCACGUACUGGGAAGCACCCCACAACCCCCAAACUUCCUCGGACUCUUGUCUUACUCAAUCCUAAGCUUACUCAGCAUACCAACCCUGUCUCAGCCUUUUCCCUCUCCCGUCCUAUCUCCUGAGCUCCCUCACUGCUUUCCCACAUGGCCCUGCAUGGCCAGCUGCGCCUCCUGUUUCUAGGGAUCUGUACCCACUUCUUCCUUCAUCGUUCUCACGUGUGCUGUCUUGCCGUACUUGAGUAAAACAAAUCCCAGGUAGAUUUUUUUUUUUUUUUAACACAUUACCUUUUCUUGAGCUGUUCAGUUGGCUCUUCCCAGGAAGUUUUAAAAUGCUCCCAAAGCUUAAGGAAUGAGUCUCCUGUUUCCUCCUUAGAAGCAGGGAAAGUGCUGGCCCACAGCUGAGAACCUGAAUUCAGAACCUAGUGUAUUGCUGUGUGUUGGGGAUGGAGGAGUGGGUUGUAAUGACUAUCCCGCUAGGCAGUGUUACCCUUAUCAAACUGUUGGAUGGGGUGGGGGGACUGGUCCGCUCCAUUGUUGCCAUGGCAACUGUAACUGCAAGUAAUUGGCCCUCCACAAGGCCUGCUGAGAGGCUGGGGGGUUUGAGGCAGGUCCUCUAACCAACCCAAGCCCCGAGUUUCCGAUGCGGUUUCACCUUACCGUGACCUGCCAGUUAGAUGUCUAGUGUACCUGAUGUUCCGAGCACCACGCUGUGCCCUGCAGGGCCUAGCUCGAGCCCUAGGCUCAGGCCCAGCUUACAGUCCGCCUGGCAUUUGGGGUCAGUCCAGGGUGCGCUGCCGUCCCAACCCCCUGGGG
ensembl:lncRNA